CAAAAAGACAAAACUGCCCCCGCGUCUUCUUUUCAUGGUUUCAUCGUGUAUUUCUUCAGUGAUACCAAAGAGUUAGGGUUUAGAGGCGAUGAUGGGGUUUAGAUUCAUUCAAAUAAAAUGAUCAAAUCGUCUGAGAAGAUAAGGUUAGCAUGCAAGUAAGUUCCCUUGAAUUUGAUACGCACUUCGAUUAUUCAUUCUGGUAAUCCCCUUUUUAUUCGCCCUAAUUUUUUCGUUCUGGUAAUUCCAAAUAAUCCCCUGUUUGUCAAAAUGAAAGUGAUACUUUGUGUUUUGGAAUACAGAUUUACGAUAUUUUUAUUAAUUGUUUUGGUCUUUUGAUGGACUUUAUCAUGAUUUUGAAGCAUUAAAUUUGUUCUUUUUCUUACCCCAUUGAUCUAAUGUAAGUUGAUUUGUUUCUCUGCUGAAAGUUGUUUGUUAGUUUUGAAGUGAAUAUUAUUUGAUUCAACAAAGUAGUAACUAAAAUGCCUAAAAUCAAUCAAUUUUUUUAUAUUUCUAAUAAACUUGUUUGAUCUCUUGCUAAAGACAAUUGGGUCAAUAUGAUCAACAAAAAAUCAAGAAACAGUGAAGAACUGAAAACUGAGGGAGAAAGAUGGAAAAAAAGGGGAUGAAUUUAGGGUAAUUGGUGUUGUGAUGGACGAAGGUGUGGCUUCUGUUUUCGUUUUGUAAACCGUGUGGUUCACACUUUAUGGGAAGGUAGGUAUCAUCUAGAUGGGAUGAGAUGGGAUAGUUAGUGGGUUGUCAUUUUCGGUUAACUUAAUGUGUUGAGAGUUAACUGACAAGUAGUUUCUUUAGUACACCACAUUCGUGGGUUUGUGUUUCGGUUAAAAGGGUCGGGUCCUAAACGCAUAGUUAUUAAAGGUGCUAGGCGCACUCAAGGCGCAUAGGCCUCGCCUGGGGCCUAGGCGCAAGACGCAAAAAAAGCGAGGGCCUGAGAAAAAAAGAGUGCACAAUGAAAAAAAAAUUAAACAAAUUUUAUGUAUUUGAAAAGUAAUACUAUUCUUCGAUAAAAUAAACAAAAGCUAUUAUUUAACAUUUAAUAUCAUCUAUUUAUUAGUGUAGAAAAGUAUUUUUCCUAAAAUAAAGUAGAACUCUGGCUGGAAUAUUGCCGGAGUUUACAGGAUUUGGCCGGAAACUCUCCGGAAUCUAGGAAUCUCGCCGAAAUUUGCGUUUGAAUCAUCACCUAGAGAAUUAAAGCGCAAUUGCCUUAACUUAAAGCGCAAUUGCCUCGCCUAGCUUGGAAAAUGGGCCUAGGCGCAAGAGGCGAUGGCUUUUAAUAACUGUGCCUAAACGUACACUAAAAAAUAAGUAGUGGAGCACAACACCAAAACCAUCAACAUCAACGUUUUUGUUCUCUCUCUAAAAAACUUCAAACUCUGACGAACCCCUAGGGUUCCGACGGUAGCUAUGACGAAGAACCAGGAGCCGGCAAAAAUAGAAACAUAUUACGGCAAAGGCUAGGGUUAUGGCGAAGAUCCGGCGAACUCCGGUGAGAAAUUUAGAGGCAAUGGCCUCCCCUAUCGAUUGCCUCUUUCCGACGAAGAUGUGGUAGCCGGCGGCAAAUAUGGGAUGGUGGUUCGGUAAUACAUCCUAAUGCUUAAGAAGCGGUUUCAACGAGGUUUGAAGGCUUGCCGCAAUGUCCCAGCGUUGGUCGCUGGACGUUUGAUGGGUGGUCUUUCUCCAGUAAUGUGUAUAUGAAGUAUUUUGUAGUUUCAAGAUGUGCUCAAACAUAUACACUUUUCCCAGACACGCAUCACUGUUAUCAUCACCACCAGAUAUCCUCGCCUUGCGUUCAUUGACUCCUCCCAACCUUCGUCAGUUUGCUUCUUCUUACAUUGCGUUCUCCUAGCGUGGCAGACAUGUGGAAACAAUGUCUCCUCCGUUAAUAAGGGCAUGCAAGACGAUCAAAAAAGUUGAACAAGUUGAAUGGUUAGUACUUUUAGUACUUUACAUCACUGCUUCCAAGUUAGUCUACUUUUAUAUUCAUUUAACUUUACAUAUUCACAUUACUUGGAUAUCAUAGACAUUGAAUGACAGUUGCUUGUACAAACUACUUUGGAGCUUUCAUAACAGUUAUUUUUCAUGCCAGUU